AGCGGCGGACGGGUGAGUAACGCGUGGGUAACCUGCCUCAUACAGGGGGAUAACAGUUGGAAACGGCUGCUAAUACCGCAUAAGCGCACAGUACCGCAUGGUACGGUGUGAAAAACUCCGGUGGUAUGAGAUGGACCCGCGUCUGAUUAGGUAGUUGGUGGGGUAACGGCCCACCAAGCCGACGAUCAGUAGCCGACCUGAGAGGGUGACCGGCCACAUUGGGACUGAGACACGGUCCAG
rnacentral:rRNA from 1 species